rnacentral:lncRNA from 1 species
GAUGCAGCAGUACAAGGAAGGCCAUCACAUGUGAACUGGAAGGGUGCCAACAUGGAGACACAGAGAGCGCAAGGAGCUUCUCCUGGGCCCGAGGAAAACGACGGUCCCCGCCCUCAAGACUACCAUCCCAUUAACUCUUUCUGCCACAGACACGUCCACAAUUACAGCCGUUGCUGAUUUUUGUUGUUUUCUGCUUUUCUGGCUACAAACCAGGACUUUUUUCUCCCUGGAAUUUCCUAAGGACAAAAAGCGUAAUUAAAACACGGCCUGCUUACCCCAUGAGUGAGAUCCUUCUACUGGGGCAGGAACUGGAGAAACCAAACCAAACAGCAAACUGAACAGCAGCCUAAAGCAUCUGGAGGAGAAGCCGUCUGGACCUCCGCUCUUCCUGGGCUCUGAAUUUGAGGGCCUAGGUGGCUACGUCCUAUUACUCCUCAAAAGGCAUUUAGGCUACUCAGUCUCAGAGAUUCAGGUUGCUGAGUCAUUUGUUCCCAAGAAGAUCCUCUGACACCAUGAAAAGCAGCAAAACAGAGUGGCCGCCAAGCCGGGACCUGGAGUGGCCAACGACUGGCUUCCUCUCUCCGGGGCAGGUGGCCAAGGGAGACGAGCACCCACCAGCCCAGCUCCCGCUGCCCCCGCCACAGUCAUACCUGGUGUUACCUGGUACUGGAUAGCCUUCACAUACCUGGAAACUCUCAACAGGGAGGGGGUUUCCCACCAAGGCUCUGGAAACUGACCGGGGUUAUUUUUGGAUGCUGCCAGGUCUCCAGGCAUCAAAGCACACAGCUCCCAAGCUUGCCCUGCCCCCAGACUCAGAAAUGUUCCCAGAACAGCUCACCUGCUAACUCCCUGGACCCCAUACACCCAGACGGACCCAGGGCGUCUUGGGUUCCCACAGCGCCACAUCCAAAGAAGGCAGACCGCAAAGGUUCCUGACAACCCGUGGUACCACAAGAGCCUCACCCUGAUCGGAAGUGGGAGGCGUGUGUGGGUCCUGGCGUGGCCGACUUAAAGUGUAUCACACCGAGGUGCUCGCAACUUCAAGAUGGCUUGAGAACCAGAGGCCACACCCUGCCCCCCAAGCAGGCUUCAUCAAGCAACGACUCUGGGCCAAGGUUUCACCCAGCAGAAAGAAGACCACUUGGAAGACAACCGUGGCACGCCACAGCUUUAAAAGCCCAGAGCGGUGUGCCAGGCUCUCAGCAGGGGAGAAAGUGCUUCAAAUUCACACCUUCUGGGCUCCAGGGUAGAGCAUGCCAAUAAAGAAGUCACCUACUGGUCUGAUGACCAAAGGAAUGUGGCCUUGAUGGCACCAGAGCAAGUCCCCCGGAAUGGUCCUCUGCCCACUUAAAUACCAUUUGCCGUAGUUUCCUUUUCCAUGGAAGAAAAACAUGCCUAAGUUCAUGUCAGGACAUUCCUGAUUUAUCCAAGAGCCCAGGAUCAGAUAAACAAAGGGCUCUGAGCUCUGCCAGGGAGCCUCCUGCUUCAGGAGGGAGAAGCAGAAGGAAGCAGGGCUCAGCCCGGCGCUGGCCCAUCACCCGAACUUGGUGAAUGACGUGCCGGCUCACUGCCAUGGCGAUGGAGAUGUCACGGGUGGGUGGCAGCGAGAGAGAAGAGGCAAAGAAGUCACGAGAGGCGGAACAAGAGCAAGUUAGGGUCAGGGGGGGCCACAGAACCCACAGACGGAGGCCGACUAUGGAUCAACCACAGCACCGCUGAGCUUGAGCCCAUGCAAAGGAAGGUGCCCUUCUCGGGGGCUGGCAGGAACCAACUCUGACUUGCAAAGCACUCUGACAGCACUGUGAUUGGGAGGUUCUGUUUCAUUUCACUUUUCAUCUAAACCUUUGCUUCUUCUUCCAGUUUUACUAAGAUUGAAACAGUCGUUUUCGAUGGCUCUGCCUAAUUCUAGGUCUUCCUUCUAUUAAUCUGAUCCUGCAUGGCGCCCAGAACAGGAAAACCCAAAUGGGAUGACCAGGAAGCAGACAUGGAUUCAGCUCCAAAAACAUGGGAGGAUGUUUGCUUAGCCGACAAGGAAGCAGGUUUACAGGGUAACCAGCCACCAGCCGUAAGCCUUCACGCUGCCUCUGGAGACCACGGAAGGAGCCUUCUCCCCGGAGGCUUUCGGAUGCCUUAGGAUGACUUUCACAACUACCAGUUUUGAGGCGACACAAGGAGCCAGGGCUCUUGGUGCCUUCUCUAAAAGAAAAUGCACGGCUACUCAGGGUGACGAAGACUCUCUACUUUAUCUUGUAGAUGAAGUCUUAUUUUGCCUUCACUUUCGCCAUGAGAUUGAUGAUCUCUCUGGAAUUUAUCUGUGUGUAUGAUGUGAGGUAGGGGUCAAGACUCAUUUCUUUCCUGUGGCCAUCCAACUGACCCCGUACUGUUUAUUAUUAAAGUGACCAUCCAUUCCCUACGGCCCCUCAGUGCCCCCGUGUCAUAAAUCAAGUGUCCAGAUAUCUAUGGGCUGUCACCAGGCUCUCUGUUCCAUUCCUUUGAUCAAAAUCAGAUAGACAAAUUGUUCUCCUCUUGUAGUGUAGCACCCCAGCCUUCAAUCAGGUGAUUUUUGACAGGAAGCUAUGUCUACAAGUAAAGUUCCAGAAAAUAUAAAUCGGAGAAGCAAAGUUCAGUGUGGACAGAGUCUGAGCCCAGUCUGGGCCUCUCAGAAAGAGCAGGAUGAGAAGAAAGAGACGCAGGAAAAAAGCAUCGGAAGCUAAGGAAGGGGACAGCAACAAGAAGGGCAGAGGGGUACGUGAGCCUGGGUUUUGUGGAUAAUGACAGAAACGAUCCAGAGAACAGACCGAAGCUGGUUAAAGAGACGACUGGCAUCAAAGUCAGGACCAGGUUAGCAGGCUGAUCCUGAGCAGGUGAACUCAGCCUUGCUGAGCCUCGGUCUCCCAAUCUGCGAAGUGCGAGGAGCCGUCCUCCUUGAGCUGUGAGGAGUAAGCAGAUGAGUCGGAGGUACAGCCCUUUCAUCACAUCCCGACAGAGCCUGGCAAUCCGAGUAUUCCAGCACACUAGGUGCCAUCCUCGCCGUGGUGACGCCUCAGCGCCCAGCCAGACCGAGGGUGCAAUCCUGCCGUUCAGCAUUCCGUGAGUACCUACCACUAAGCAAAGAUAACGUGGACAGUGGUGACAAACUCAGAAUCUCCAACGAGACCGGCUUGAAUCCGCAUGCCAGGACAGCCUCGACUAGUUACAGAGACUUGAACAACUUCUUUGACCAUCCCAAGUUCCCAGUUUCAGCUCCAUUCAUCCUUUCCAGGGGCUUUCUUGAGGAGGACGGCAUGAGACACAGAUGCACAACACAAAGUUACUGCUCAGCGGAUGCCAGUACCCCGUAACGAUGCCGACGAUGACGGAUAGUGAUGAUGGUGUGCCUGGCACCACACCAGGCACCGGAAGAGAAGGCCUAGGAACACUCGGAAGACCCACAGCUCCUGGCAAUCUUGGUCUUCGGACCACGUCCGAACCAGGCACAAGCACACCUAGCUUCAUCCUGACAAGACUAAGCAGAUGAGACCGAGGGUGUUCAAGUGGGGGGCCCAGGAGGAGACGGCUUGGAGGAAAAAGAUGGAGAUGCCAAGGAAAAGCCAAACUGCUGAGCCAGUUAAAUACUUGGUAAGGAAACUCUAAUCUUGGGGAACUUUAAGAAGAAACAAAAACACGGAAUCUAUAAAUACGAAUACUCAGAGAGUCUAAGCAUGUGCGGGGUCAAGGCGGGGGACGCGCGUCGGAAACGGUACUCACAGACUGGAAGUCUGAUGGUGCCCACGGGGAGAAGGUUCCUGAAAGAACAGCGCCGUUAAUAGCUUCGAUCAACAAUCCCGACCACGAUGUGGUCCGUCCUACGACCACAGCUUCUCAGUCUCCAGGAACAGCGACCCCAGAACCUCUGAGGAGCUUCUCCCAUCAAAUUCCCCACCCAAGGGACCGUGGCACUUCCGCCCAGGUGGCUGAGCUGAAGCGAGAGUAGGCCCCAGCAGUGACAACAAACACUCCAAGGACACAAUGCGGUGCCACGUGCCAAGUGAAAAUCCGAGCGACAAGGGCUGGGGACAGCCUGUGCUGGAGGGUAGGUCCUGGCAGAGGUGAGACGGCAGAGGCAGACACGGAAAAAGCCGCCGCGGGCAGGGAGCUGGACCAGGAAGCAGACAACGAGGGGCCUGGCAGACACCGGCCCUGGGCACACGGGCCUCCCCUGCGUGCAGGGCAGAGGAAGAUGCGUGAGGGCCAGGGCGGGUCCCCAGCAGGCAGGAGUGAACCCCGGCACCAGCAGAGACGCCGAGGGGAACAUGCCAAGGCCAGCACAGUGACUGACGGGGCAGACGCGCCCAGAGAAGGUCAGGCGUAGGUGGCGGAUGUUGUGACGGGUGUGUGCCCUCUUUCUGAGGGGACGCUUUCUCCUGAGCAGACUGACUCUGUCUGUCUGUCGGGCCAAAAUUUCAGGCUCCGAAGUGUCCUGCCCAAGCUGGCUUCUCCACCACCUCCUGGGAAAACGCAAGGGGCCAACUGUCUUCGGCUAGGCCACUGAUGGUUAGGUCUGCUGCCACAGACAGCUCCCCACGCAGCCUCACGCAGAAUCCAGGCCGGCGAUGGGAGCAGCACCUGCUAUUCUGAAAACGGACCAGGGCACAGAGGACAUGGGCAGUGCGAUGUGCCCAAGCCCCGGGCCCAGGGGCCUCCAGGGCUGCCCACGAUGCAGGGGGCAAAGUCUCCUGGGACUCAGGGGGUAACUCAACUUGCCUCCUGGCCGGCUGCUCAUGAAAUCCUGGCUCUGUCAAUGAACAGAAAUAAUUUCCAGAGAGACAGCCUGUGGCUGGGCCACGUGGCCCACGUGGAGGGACCUCUGGCCCAUCCCUGCAAGGUGGAAGCGGUGGCCUGGGCCACGGGCCAGACGUGGCCGGGGUGGGAGGGGCCUUGACUCCUCUGGGCACAGGUGGGGACCCUCAGACGGUGGUACUGCUGUUCCCGGGGUCCUCGGUCUUGAUCGGAAAGGGAAGCUCUGGGCGGGAGGAGACGGUCCUGGGGUACACAGAACCUGGGCCACUGACGACUCACGGGCCGUGCCGACCUCUGCGUGACCACAUGAACUUAGCACCACGAGUCUCAAACAUGGAGCUUCUUUCCUGCCCCAGACCCAACCGUGGCCUGGCUGAGCUGAGUCAGAACUAGACGGCAGGUGCCACACACACGAGGCGGACGGGGGUUCCCCACAUGAGGCUGACGUGUGCCUUCAUUUCCAUUUGGCCUGUUCCCCACCCCGCAGGGGCCCGCCCGCGCCCGAGCCUGGGGCCUCGGGGAAGAGGGAAGAGGAACGACCCUGGGGCCACCGCGCACACCAGGGCGCAGAGGCCAGACUUUCAGCAAAGUGCCGACCCUGCCGGGAGCUGGAGCAGAGACAGGGCACUCUCCUGACGGGGAGGAUGGGCUGAGCUCGGAGGGGCUCCUGGGGGCCUCGCGGGCAAGGACGCGGCGUGUCGCUGCGGUAGCUCGGGUCUGAUCACUGGCCUGGGAACUUCCGCGUGGAGCAGGCGAGGCCCCCCCAAAUUAAAUACAUAAAUAAAUACAUACAUAAUGCACU